GAUGAACGCUGGCGGCGUGCCUAAUACAUGCAAGUCGAGCGAACAGACGAGGAGCUUGCUCCUCUGACGUUAGCGGCGGACGGGUGAGUAACACGUGGAUAACCUACUUAUAAGACUGGGAUAACUUCGGGAAACCGGAGCUAAUACCGGAUAAUAUAUUGAACCGCAUGGUUCAAUAGUGAAAGACGGUUUUGCUGUCACUUAUAGAUGGAUCCGCGCCGCAUCAGCUAGUUGGUAAGGUAACGGCUUACCAAGGCAACGAUGCGUAGCCGACCUGAGAGGGUGAUCGGCCACACUGGAACUGAGACACGGUCCAGACUCCUACGGGAGGCGGCAGUAGGGAAUCUUCCGCAAUGGGCGAAGGCCUGACGGGGCAACGCCGCGUGAAUGAUGAAGGUCUUCGGAUCGUAAAACUCUGUUAUUAGGGAAGAACAAAUGUGUAAGUAACUAUGCACGUCUUGACGGUACCUAAUCAGAAAGCCACGGCUAACUACGUG
rnacentral:rRNA from 1 species